rnacentral:piRNA from 1 species
UAAAUGUGUAGAUUUUGGGUGUGGUUCC